rnacentral:rRNA from 1 species
AUUGAACGCUGGCGGCAGGCCUAACACAUGCAAGUCGAGCGGAGCGGAGGACGGGUGAGUAAUGCCUAGGAAUCUGCCUGGUAGUGGGGGAUAACGUCCGGAAACGGGCGCUAAUACCGCAUUCUAUCAGAUGAGCCUCGGUCGGAUUAGCUUGGGGGUGGGGUAAAGGCCUACCAAGGCGACGAUCCGUCACUGGUCUGAGAGGAGGAUCAGUCACACUGGAACUGAGACACGGUCCAGACUCCUACGGGAUGCAGCAGUGGGGAAGAUUGGACAAGGGGCGAAAGCCUGAUGCAGCCAGGCCGCGUGGGUGAAGAAGGUCUUCGGAUUGUAAAGCACUUUAAGUUGGGAGGCGUUACCAACAGAAUAAGCACCGGCUAACUUCGUGCCAGCAGCCGCGGUAAUAC